CGCAGAGUGACCGACCUUCGGGUCGGGUAAUGCGGACGGUCACAAUCCCGA
rnacentral:ribozyme from 1 species